rnacentral:rRNA from 1 species
UACAUGGGGUGCAAACGUUGCUCGGAAUUAUUGGGCGUAAAGCGCACGUAGGCGGUUUGUUAAGUCGGAUGUGAAAUCCCUCGGCUCAACUGAGGAAGUGCAUCCGAAACUGGCAAGCUUGAGUACGAAAGAGGGUCGCGGAAUUCCCGGUGUAGAGGUGAAAUUCGUAGAUAUCGGGAGGAACACCGGUGGCGAAGGCGGCGACCUGGGUCGAUACUGACGCUGAGGCGCGAAAGCGUGGGGAGCGAACAGG